rnacentral:rRNA from 1 species
UAAUUAAGCGGAGGAAAAGAAACUAACUAGGAUUCCCCCAGUAACGGCGAGUGAAGCGGGAUUAGCUCAGGAUGUAAAUCUGCACUAUUAUCGGUGCCGAAUUGUGGUCUGAAGACCUUGACGUUAUCUGCCGGGCCAAGUUCCUUGGAAAAGGACAGCUGAGAGGGUGAGACUCCCGUCCGUCUGGUAGAAUGAGUCAUGUGUCAACGAGUCGAGUUGUUUGGGAUUGCAGCUCUAAUUUGGUGGUAAAUUCCAUCUAAAGCUAAAUAUUGGUGGG